GGACGGUUGGCGCAGCGGCUAGCGCAGGUGCCUUACAAGCACAAGAUCGGGGGUUCGAAUCCCUCACCGUCCACCA
rnacentral:tRNA from 1 species